rnacentral:rRNA from 1 species
UACGUAGGGGCCUAGCGUUGUCCGGAUUCAUUGGGCGUAAAGCGCACGUAGCGGUUUGCCAAGUUGGGGGUGUAAGCUCUGGGCCUAACCCAGAAAUUGCCUCCAAAACUAGCAUACUUGAGUAUUAGAGGGGAAGCUGGAAUUCACGGUGUAGCGGUGAAAUGCGUAGAUAUCGUGGAGAACACCCGUGGCGAAGGCGGGCUCUGGCUAAUUACUGACGCUGAGGUGCGAAAGCUAGGGGAGCGAA